UCCUGUGUAGCACUGUGAUAAAGGAAAGCCUUUCAGUCCAGAUUCCUAAGAUGAGGACACAGCAUCCUGGGCCACUGUCACUAAUACAAAUUUGCCUCUGGAGGGACUCUACGGAAGAUAAUUCCCCUGAAAUUUGGAGAGUUGAAUUAAGCUAGGACUGAUUCUGGCUGGAAUUUGUGGUGGCUACGUACCCUAGAGGGCCUCAAGGAAACCCACGGUUCAAGACAGCCCUGACAGAUUCUGGAGUCUAGAACAGAAAUGGAUUUGAACAUGGGCAAGGCCAACCACCCAGUUCACGGCCUGUGUACAGCAAAGAUUACGUUACAGCCUGAGAGCUAAGCCUGGAAGCUCUUUCAUCCAUCCGUUUGUCCAUCUAUCCAUCCAUCUGCUCAUCCAUCCCUCCAUCUGCUCAACAAACGUUAGAGAAUCAAUCCUUGUGUCAGAUACUGGGGCUGCCCUCAAGGAGCUUUUAUAGAGUUCAGGGUACAGCCAGGUGGGGGAGACAGAUCACUAUAAAAACCUACCACUAUAAUCCAAAGGACAAGAGCAAAAAUAGUAAAGAGGAGAGAAGACCCAAAUUUGCCUGGUGGGUCAGAGAGGGCUUUCUAGAAGAGGUAAAAAAUCUUCGGGGCUAUCACUUCACCUUGCCUGGUGGAUAAAGGGAGGACUUUCCAGAUACAGUGGACAGAAUGUGCAGAGGCAGGAGCCAUGAGUGGCAGAGGCAGGGGAGGGACUGCAGAGACAGGUUGGAGCCAAAGCACGUGGCACUGGAGCCAUAGCCAAAGGAACAAACUGUGAGACCUGGGACUUGAAUUUGGAGGUGGUGAAAAGUGACAAGGUCUUCACAGAAGAGUGAUUUUUUCAACUUAGGGAAGGCUGACCCCAGACCAAUGCUGCCAAAGUGUGGUCUGUGGGCUGUUAGCAGUUCGUGACGAUGUAAGUACAGGAAUUGAGAUUAAGC
rnacentral:lncRNA from 10 species